rnacentral:rRNA from 1 species
UACACAAUAAUCCGCCCGGGAACUACGAACAAAAGUUUAAAACCCAAAGGACUUGGCGGUGCUUAAUAUCCACCUAGAGGAGCCUGUUCUAUAACCGAUAAUCCUCGUUCAACCUCACCCCCCCUUGCCACCAACCCGCCUAUAUACCGCCAUCGUCAGUCCACCCUAUGAAGGCCCCACAGUCGACAAAACCGGAACAACCCCAAACGUUAGGUCGAGGUGUAGCGUAUGGGAGGGGAAGAAAUGGGCUACAUUUGCUAAAACAGCAUACUACGGAUGUUGUAUUGAAAUACACAACUAAAGGAGGAUUUAGCAGUAAGCAGAAAAUAGAGCGUUCUGCUGAAACUGGCACUUAAGCGCGCACACACCGCCCGUC